rnacentral:rRNA from 1 species
AUACGAAGGGAGCUAGCGUUGUUCGGAAUUACUGGGCGUAAAGCGCACGUAGGCGGACUAUUUAGUCAGGGGUGAAAUCCCGGGGCUCAACCCCGGAACUGCCCUUGAUACUGGUAGUCUAGAGUUCGAGAGAGGUGAGUGGAAUUCCGAGUGUAGAGGUGAAAUUCGUAGAUAUUCGGAGGAACACCAGUGGCGAAGGCGGCUCACUGGCUCGAUACUGACGCUGAGGCGCGAAAGCGUGGGGAGCAAACAGGAUUAGAAACCCCUGUAGUCC